AGCAGCCGCGGUAAUUCCAGCUCCAAUAGCGUAUAUUAAAGUUGUUGCAGUUAAAAGCUCGUAGUUGAACUUCGGGAUCAAUGGAUCGGUCAUGCCUUGGUAUGUACUGAUCAUAUUGGUUCUCACCUUCUAACGAACCAUAAUGUCAUUCAUUUGAUGUUGUGGGGAAUUAGGACUGUUACCUUGAAAAAUUGAGUGUUUAAAGCAGGCCUACGCUUGAAUACAUUAGCAUGGAAUAAUGAAAUAGGACAUUGCAUUCUAUUUUGUUGGUUUCUAGGAUCGAUGUAAUGAUUAAUAGGGAUAGUUGGGGGCAUUGUAUUCAAUUGUCAGAGGUGA
rnacentral:rRNA from 1 species